rnacentral:rRNA from 1 species
AUACGGAGGAUCCGAGCGUUAUCCGGAUUUAUUGGGUUUAAAGGGUGCGCAGGCGGCCAUUUAAGUCAGCGGUUAAAUCGUGGGGCUCAACCCCAUUCUGCCGUUGAUACUGGGUGGCUUGAUUGCGGUCGAGGUUGGCGGAAUUCGUUGUGUAGCGGGGAAAUGCAUAGAUAUGACGAAGAACACCGAUUGCGUAGGCAGCUGACCAGACCGCAAAUGACGCUCAUGCACGAAAGUGCGGGGAUCGAACAGGAUUAGAUACCCUGGUAGUCCGCACAGUAAACGAUGAAUACUUGUUUUCGGCGAUAUAAUGUCGGAGGCAAAGCGAAAGCGAUAAGUAUUCCACCUGGGGAGUACGCCGGCAACGGUGAAACUCAAAGGAAUUGGCGGGG